CCUGAUCAACCGAUGCUUGGAGAUUUGUCUUGUAUUAACUACUUCUUAUGUCAAUAUGACCAAUAGAUGCCAUGUGUCGCAUCACGCGAAAAACCGGCGGGAAAAGAAGAAACAACAGAGCCGCCACCGUGCGUUAUUUAUCCCAAAAGAGGGAAAGGAAACGCUCGAAGUAAACCUGGGAAAGAACAUGGUCUCGCGACCAAAGAGAAUGG
rnacentral:lncRNA from 1 species